rnacentral:rRNA from 1 species
AGAGUUUGAUCAUGGCUCAGAUUGAACGCUGGCGGCAUGCCUUACACAUGCAAGUCGAACGGCAGCACGGGGGCAACCCUGGUGGCGAGUGGCGAACGGGUGAGUAAUACAUCGGAACGUGUCCUGGAGUGGGGGAUAGCCCGGCGAAAGCCGGAUUAAUACCGCAUACGACCUACGGGUGAAAGCAGGGGAUCGCAAGACCUUGCGUUAUUGGAGCGGCCGAUGUCAGAUUAGCUAGUUGGCGGGGUAAGAGCCCACCAAGGCGACGAUCUGUAGCUGGUCUGAGAGGACGACCAGCCACACUGGGACUGAGACACGGCCCAGACUCCUACGGGAGGCAGCAGUGGGGAAUUUUGGACAAUGGGCGCAAGCCUGAUCCAGCCAUGCCGCGUGUGGGAAGAAGGCCUUCGGGUUGUAAACCACUUUUGUCAGGGAAGAAACGGCUCUUACUAAUAUUAGGAGAUAAUGACGGUACCUGAAGAAUAAGCACCGGCUAACUACGUGCCAGCAGCCGCGGUAAUACGUAGGGUGCGAGCGUUAAUCGGAAUUACUGGGCGUAAAGCGUGCGCAGGCGGUUAUGCAAGACAGAUGUGAAAUCCCCGGGCUCAACCUGGGAACUGCAUUUGUGACUGCAUGGCUGGAGUGCGGCAGAGGGGGAUGGAAUUCCGCGUAGCAGUGAAAUGCGUAGAUAUGCGGAGGAACACCGAUGGCGAAGGCAAUCCCCUGGGCCUGCACUGACGCUCAUGCACGAAAGCGUGGGGAGCAAACAGGAUUAGAUACCCUAGUAGUCC